GAUGAACGCUGGCGGCGUGCCUAAUACAUGCAAGUCGAGCGAACAGACGAGGAGCUUGCUCCUCUGACGUUAGCGGCGGACGGGUGAGUAACACGUGGAUAACCUACCUAUAAGACUGGGAUAACUUCGGGAAACCGGAGCUAAUACCGGAUAAUAUAUUGAACCGCAUGGUUCAAUAGUGAAAGACGGUUUUGCUGUCACUUAUAGAUGGAUCCGCGCCGCAUUAGCUAGUUGGUAAGGUAACGGCUUACCAAGGCAACGAUGAGUAGCCGACCUGAGAGGGUGAUCGGCCACACUGGAACUGAGACACGGUCCAGACUCCUACGGGAGGCAGCAGUAGGGAAUCUUCCGCAAUGGGCGAAAGCCUGACGGAGCAACGCCGCGUGAGUGAUGAAGGUCUUCGGAUCGUAAAACUCUGUUAUUAGGGAAGAACAAAUGUGUAAGUAACUAUGCACGUCUUGACGGUACCUAAUCAGAAAGCCACGGCUAACUACGUG
rnacentral:rRNA from 1 species